UUCUGCUUUAUUGCAGAUUGUAAAAUAAACUUUGGCCUUUUUUUAAUAAAUGUUAUAAAAAUGCUCUGUGAAUCAGGAGAGUGUCAGCAAUUAAAGCAAUUUAACAUCAUAAUAAUUAAAAAUGCAAUACUCCAGCGUAGUCGGUACUGGUUCCCAUAAAAAGCCACAUUGUUGGUCCUUAAUAAUUACAUUAUUUGACAGACAUGCUAAAGAAGAGGAAAAGGUGCACAUUGUUAGUAUCAGAUGAGCAACUAAUUCUUAUUGUUUCUGGAAAUUGCUCUAAAAUCCUUUACUGUUGCUGUCUUUCAGCUAACAGAUGUGCAGGAAUGUCCUCGGCUCACCAUUGCUUUUCUCUCCAGCAGAAUAUGACUGACAACACAACAACACAAGGGAACAGCUGGGUCGAAACACAUAAUAUUUUCCUGGUAGAGAAAGAAGCUGAUUAGGCUGUGGAGUACCUAAUUGGGUCUUGGCCUUGAAUGAUGGAAAACUCCAGUCAGGAGGAGCACAGCCAGUGAAGAGCAGUAGCGUUACCAGUGCAGGUUUGGGUCCUGGGAGGAGCAGCACACCCCAAAGACCAGGAAGUUCAUGUGAAGUUUCUGAACCUCCACUUUGCCCCUUGGGGAGAAGCAGCCCGGAAAUAAGGUGAAAGUGUUCUGAAAGAAACAAGGAAAUCUCAAAAGGAAAAAAAAAAUAGCACAUUAUAGAAAUACUGGUAAAUAAAAUAUAACCAACGAGCAGCAUGGGAAGCAGGUUUAACCCAUGGCACACCAGUUUUCCUGUAGUGCCAGCCAACUCAAUGUUGAAUGUAGAAUAUCAAGUAAUAUGGUUUAUAUGUAUUAGUGACAUUAAAUAUGAUAUAAACAUGAAUGGAUUAAAUUAGAAGAAAACAUAGUGUACAAAGGACAAGUGUAUGAAAUCAGUGCUAUUUGAGCCUUUUGUGAUAGCUGACAGCAAAAACAAAAAACAAAAACAAAAAAAGGAAGAAAAAGUUGAGAUUCAAUAAGAAAAAUAAUAUCAAUAUUUUAAAAAGUUAGAUUUUUGAAAUCUGUCAUGGUUCAAGAGGCUUUUGUUGUAUGGUUCUGCAUUUGUUUGGCAGAUGCAUUUGCGAGACCUUCCACUGCUCUAUAGAAAACUUGAAAGAAAUCAAUAUUUUAUUGUUACAUUAAUUUACCUAUUGCUUUAAAACACCUCUAGAAACAAAUACAGAAGUGCUUAGGAAAUCUAGGCUUAUGCAACUAAACUGGACCUUGUGUCUUCUGAGUUUUUGCAAAGGGUGUUUUACAAAAUCUGAGUUCUUUGUCCCAGAUCUGGACAGACACUUCCAACACAGCCCACAACCUCUGCCUUGAAACACGGUCGGUCAUCCGGGAGGUGAGGAGGUGAAGUAAAGCCAAAGGAGUAAAGCAAGAAAGGAGAACGUGCUCAAAUGAAGACAAAACACACCAUUCAAACAGAAAUUGCUUAUUAAUUAUAACAUGGACACACUGCUGAAACCCAAGCCUCCCACAAAGCCUGCAAUCCAGCUCAGAGGUGUUCACAGGCCAGCGUGGGAUGUUCUGGUCAUCUGAGCUCUGCAUAGGGCCCAGGCUUUGCUGUGGGCCCUAUGGGAUUGAGCACCCAAGAUUUAAACCACAUCCUAACCCAUUCCUCUCUGUGUGGCUGUCAGGUGAUAAAUCCAUCCUAACCUUCACCACUGACCCAUCGAUACUGGGCUGAAAAUAUCCCAACUUGAAUUAUACGGCAGCUAGAAGUAAAAAUGGGUAUUUUGGUCUCCAGUAUGGAAUCCACAUGAUCUUCAUGUCCCAAUUGUACUACUUCCUCCUGUGGUGGGGCCUGUAAUUUACUGAAGAUGUCUUUGACCUACAUCAUCAGUGUGAAGUUAUCAGUUGCUUCUAGAAGGAAUGUUUUAAUUUACUAACCUGCUCUACUGGGAAUGAGUAUAAGCUACAGCCAUGCAAAAAGCAGGAUUUCUUGGUACACAUUCACGAGUUAUUUGUUCAGAUUUGAAAACAAAAAAUAAAAAGUCUUAAAAGUGUGACAGUAAAAUCACAAGCAGAGUUAUUUUGUUAAAGGAACUUUUAUUUAGUCCUCCCCAAGUCUUUGGGGAUUUCUUUCAGAUUAGUAAAGAUUGGUAAUGAUUUCAAAAUUUAAGCUUCAAACCAUAAUAGUUCACAUAAAUAAACUUUAGCUUUCUGUUCAUUUUCCCUCUCAUUUCUCCCUUGUAAUAAUCCAGUGAAAUCUCUCUGUGCAUGAUAGUUGAUUAAUUCUCAUUAAGGUCUUGUCUGAGAAACAGAGCUUGCCCUAUCUUUGAGCUUGCCCUAUUGCUUGCUGUUCAUCUCCUUUAUUUUUUCUUCCUUUUUUAUUUUUUUUUUUGGUCUGUAGGAGGGCUGCGAGAGCCAUGUUAUGUUGUCAAGCCACAAAAUCAAUGAGCUGGGAGAAGCUUCUCAAGGCAGAGGGGCCAGGUGCUUGUGGGGAUCUGCUGCGGCCUGUGGUGGUCCAUGGCACCCCAUCUGCACCAACAUCUUUCUAGGCACAUUCACACUCCAUUCCCUUACCUUUGCUGUGAAAUUGUCACUUCCUUGGCUGGGCUGCAGUAUAUAAAUAGAAAUCUCAUAUCUUCUACCUGCUGUGCUCUGGGGAAGCCCAAGAACACCCGGCACAUUGCAUUUCUCUGCAAGCUGGCUGUAGGACCCGGCCACAAUAUUGCAGCAAAUAACCUGGGUCUUAUGUGAAUUGCCCUGAAUCUGGGAAACACGGCAGGUUCCCCCGGGACUGCAAAUCGAGUUGAGGUCAGCCUGGGCUGUUCCUGCUGCUGGCACCUUUAUGCUGGUGUUACUGGCCACCAUCGGCAUCCCUCACUGCAGUGACAGAGUGGGACACAGGGCAGGGGCUCUUCCCUGUCUGGUCCCUGUAUGUGUACUUUUGAGGGAGGACAGGUGAUUUCCCAUUCUGCAUAAAUAUGCUCUGAUUACACGUUUCCCCAGAUAGAUAUUUUUUUUUUGUCUUAAUAACAUUGAUUUAAAUUAUGCUUAAAUAUUAAUAAAGUGAUUUAAGACCAGGCCGCUUAGGCCAAAUGCACAUUAAAAUUCCCCUUCUAUUUUCCCUCUUUUUAAAUCCUCCUUCUUCAGUUUAUUCCCUGUGGGAGGGUUUGGGUCCUGAACUCAUUGUGCGAUCUUCAAACACAUAAUAAGAAUUAAUCACCAUUAGUCCUCUAUUUUAACAGCUGCUUCCUACCCCCCGAACCAGUACAGCUGCAAACUUCCCUCCCUCUGCCGACACCGUAAGCCCAUUACAGCUGCAAACUUCCACACGUAAAACGCAGAUUUAAGCUUCUUCUGAAACAACUCACAUCUUGUGAUGGCGCAGGUCCGUGGCAGAAGCGAACCACUUCUUGGUAUUCACAGGGACAUCACCGCGAUUUAUUUGUCAACAGGGAGAGGAGACGGUUGCAAAGGCUCAAGAAGGAAUAUUUCCAUAAACAAGUUCAAACUUAAUAAAGAGCAGACAGAGAAAGAAGAAGUCAGAGCGGAAGGGCAAUAAAGCAGGGUGUAAGAAGAAGCAGUCUUUACCUUGGGGCUAUGAACGCUGGGGAGAGCGGCUGUGAGCGCUGGAAGGGCUGGCGCAGCCCUGCACGGAGCCGCGUGGUUGCUGAACCACCAUAAAGCUCAAGGUGAAAGCAAAGCAGAGCUGCUGGGGAGCAGUGAGGGAGCACAAACCCUGCUGCCUGGCUGCAGUACGAGGCAGGGAAACAUUCCCACGAAGCUCAUGAAAGUUUUUGAGAAGCAGCAGGCUAUGGAGAAGGACUGUCAUAAACGUGGAACAUGCCAUCUGAUGCAAUUCGUGUGUUCCUGCAACUUCGGAUGGCAACUUUGCCCUGAAUGCCUUUGAAGCCUACAAACUAUGAAAUUUUAAUGCUUAGCAGCCUCCCGGGGACCUCACGAUAAUACCUACAGGACAUCUCUCAGCAUCCCUGCUGGAAGAAGGACAGACAUCUCGGGGCGAGCACCACCGAUGGCUCCUCGCCGCCACCACAGGCACCGAGGGGCGCGCUGCCCGGGGACGGGAAAAGCACGAGUUCGUGGAAAGUGGAUGGGUACAGUAUGGAAAUAAAAGCGGAUCGCAUCCUCAUUAUGUGGGCUCUUUUGAAUAAAUGUUAGCCUUUAAGUGCCAGCUGUCACUCUAUGCAUGGCCUCCCUUCUUACAACUAACCUCUCCGUCACCUCGCCUUGUCUCCCGAACUUGUCCUAUUAUGCAGUACCAAGCUGAGUCAUUGUUUCAAGCAGGAGGUGACAUGUUAAUAGCUUAAUAAUAGUAUAAUCUCGCAAAUAAUAAUAUGCUGUCACACUGUCUGAAGCACAAUGUUUACAGGAGAAGUGGUAAUGUAUGAUGACAGUAAUUUGAAUAAAAAUGAAUUUACUGCUCUUGUCUCAUUUGCAGUAAAUUUUCGCAUCUUUCAUGCACAACUGGUGCUCCAUGACCUCUUUCAUUAUUGUGUUCUCAGUGGCUGCUGCUUGCUUUAAAGUGAAAGGCAGGCAAAUGAAACAGAAACCUGCAGCUUAAUAACUGAUCUCCAGAAAAAGAGUUCGCACCGCGGCUUCUGAAAAUCUCACUUGGUUUGUUUACCAAGACGAUACGGUGUCAGGCAGGCUGUUUAAUUAAUGCAAGCUGGAGGUGCCGAUUGAAAAGCAGGCAUGAGCUGAUAUGAUUAUGUAUUGACAAUUUACAAAAUUAUUGUCAUUAAAAUGUGUCAGAGAGAAAAAAAAAAACACGCUUGAAAUACAGAGAAGAUCAUUUGGUUUGAAAUUAAAGUUUGUGCAGCCUAAGAGGAAACUGCUUUAAACUGCUCUUGGUAUUGUCUGAUGUGGGGGAAAGCAAUGCUGUACUUUCUGUUUGGUAUGGGGAAAGUGUUGGAAGCUACCCGCUUUAUUGGCUUUAGUUAAUUAUAAAUGUAUGCAGCUAUGAUAAUAGCCAGUAAAACUUAAAAACGCUCCCGGAAGGUAUAAAUUAUUUGUGGUUCAUGCUGUGGGCUCACUCGUCCUGACCCGUGUGCUGGUUUGGUGUCAUGAAAUUCUGCCAUUUCGAUGUACGAGGUGGACCAGGACUUGUGUAUUAUUCUGGCAAAUAAAUAGAAAAUGUAUGCUAGAUCAAAACAGCCUUUGGAAAAUCUGAAUUCCUAGGACAGUUCUGUGUCUGUAAAAGAAAAAAGAAGUUAUGAAAUGAUUUUGUGCAUUUGAUGAAAAAAGAAGAAAGUUUACAACUCACAACUGAUAUGCCUGGACUAAAUUUGGUUUGAUGGAAUGAGGACAACUAAUUGAAACUUACUGGGACUCAAAACACUGCACAGGACAAAUUCUCAAAAAAAUGGUGUGUUUUAUGUAAGUUUAACUGAACAUACAGAAUAAAGAAAUGGCAUCUGCAUGACCUAGUUCAUGGGUUGAAGUCAUUAGGACCACAGGUUACCUCCUCAUCUGUGUAUAUACGCAUGCACAUAUGCAUUUUUUCUUUACUUAUAUUUUGCAUCUAAUAAAUAUGAUA